rnacentral:rRNA from 1 species
AUGGGCCGUGAGGUAGCCAGGCGUGAGGAGCUGGCAAACAUAGCGAACUUCUUCCUAUUCCAUCGCCUAGCAAUCCCCAGAUCCCACGCCGACUUUUUCGCGAUAAUAAGCACGCCAUUACGCUCCUUCUCUCUUAUAAUUUCCUUCCUAAUAGAUCGCCAGUUAGCCGUCUCGCCGAUGACGAUCUCUGUUCCCGGGCGCCCCGAUCGCAAGAUGCAGUCAGUAGUCAAUACGCGAUGCCGCUUUCUCUCCCGUCUUCAGACGCUGACAUACGCACACACAUCGCCGAGCGCUAGUCGCUAG